UACGGGAGGCAGCAGUGGGGAAUAUUGCACAAUGGGCGCAAGCCUGAUGCAGCCAUGCCGCGUGUAUGAAAAAGGCCUUCGGGUUGUAAAGUACUUUCAGUCGUGAGGAAGGUGUUAAGGUUAAUAACCUUAGCAAUUGACGUUAGCGACAGAAGAAGCACCGGCUAACUCCGUGCCAGCAGCCGCGGUAAUACGGAGGGUGCGAGCGUUAAUCGGAAUUACUGGGCGUAAAGGGCACGCAGGCGGCUAAUUAGUUGGAUGUGAAAUCCCCGGGCUUAACCUGGGAAUGGCAUUCAAGACUGGUUAGCUAGAGUCUUGUAGAGGGGGUAGAAUUCCGAUGUGUAGCGGUGAAAUGCGUAGAGAUGUGGAGGAAUACCGGUGGCGAAGGCGGCCCCUGGACAAAGGCUGACGCUCAUGUGCGAAAGCGUGGGGAGCAAAC
rnacentral:rRNA from 1 species